rnacentral:rRNA from 1 species
CCUACGGGAGGCAGCAGUGGGGAAUAUUGGACAAUGGGGGCAACCCUGAUCCAGCCAUGCCGCGUGAGUGAAGAAGGCCUUCGGGUUGUAAAGCUCUUUCAGAUGCGAAGAUGAUGACGGUAACAUCAGAAGAAGCCCCGGCUAAUUUCGUGCCAGCAGCCGCGGUAAUACGAAAGGGGCUAGCGUUGUUCGGAUUUACUGGGCGUAAAGGGCACGCAGGCGGUCUUGCCAGUCAGGGGUGAAAGCCCGGGGCUCAACCCCGGAACUGCCUCUGAUACUGCAAGACUAGAGACUAGGAGAGGGUGGUGGAAUUCCCAGUGUAGAGGUGAAAUUCGUAGAUAUUGGGAGGAACACCAGAGGCGAAGGCGGCCACCUGGACUAGAUCUGACGCUCAGGUGCGAAAGCGUGGGGAGCAAACAGGAUUAGAUACCCUAGUAGUCCACGCCGUAAACGAUGAGUGCUAGUUGUCGGGAUUCGAUUUCGGUGACGCAGCUAACGCAUUAAGCACUCCGCUGGGGAGUACGGCGCAAU